rnacentral:tRNA from 1 species
UGCCAGAUGCGGGGUUCGAACCCACGCCCUCACUAGAGGACCAGAACUUAAGUCUGGAACCUUAGACCACUCGGCCAAUCUGAC